rnacentral:rRNA from 1 species
AUGUCGUCGUCGGCCGCUCCCCCGCAGCAGCAGCAGCAGCAGCUCCUCGACGACGAGGACCCACCAAACCCUUCUUCCCCCUUCUUCCCCUUGUCCAGCUUCCUCGACCUCCGCAACCCCAGCGACCUCGCCGGGGUGCUCGGCCCGCCAUCCCCCUCCGCGCCCCGCGCCUCUGCCCCCGCCAACAACCAGGAAUAUUAG